rnacentral:rRNA from 1 species
UACGUAGGUGGCAAGCGUUGUCCGGAUUUAUUGGGCGUAAAGCGAGCGCAGGCGGAAAGAUAAGUCUGAUGUGAAAGCCCCCGGCUUAACCGCGGAACUGCAUCUAAAACUGGUAAGCUGGAGUGCAGGAGAGGUGAGUGGAAUUCCUAGUGUAGCGGUGGAAUGCGUAGAUAUUAGGAGGAACACCAGAGGCGAAGGCGACUCACUGGACUGUAACUGACGCUGAGGCUCGAAAGCGUGGGGAGCAAACAGG